UUCGUUGGUGUUCAUAUUUAAAGGCGACUGGGAGACAUAAAAAGUACUUCGAAAAUUUCACUUCGCGAACGCAUCAUCAGUGAAAGUAUAAUUUUUUUGACGUUUCUUCUAAAGCACCAGCACAUACAUUAGAAAAAUGAGCGACAACGACAUGCCAGGAGACGCUAGGGAGUGCUUAAAUGAUGAAAAGAAAAGAAAAAUAUUUCGAGAGUGGUUACAAAAACAUAUUAACAAUGUUGAUGAAUAUCCUAAAAAAGCAGGACAAAAAUCAGAACAGCUCAGAAUAGCUUAUGGGCUUGAACCUAUCUAUCAAUGUUUUUAUAAAAACAGAAACAACGAAUGAACAAGUUAGAAUGAGAUAACUAUGUUUAAAAAAAAGCAUUAAUUCAU